ACAUGCUUACAACAUAGCGUUAAUGCACCUGAUCCCAUUAGAACUCUAGAGUUAAGCACGCUUGGUCUAGAGUAGUACUCGAAUUGGUGACCUCUCGAGAAGUCUUAGUAUUUUACAUGCC
rfam:Picea glauca, whole genome shotgun sequence.